GUUUGACUUUAACAUGAAAAAAAUCAAUUAGUGUAUUCACUAUUUUAACAGGCUAAAGGAGAAUUUUUCCUCAUCUCGUCACCACAGCUGUCCUAAGAGAGAAGAAAGAUCUUUGCAGAACAAUUAAUCAACUGUUUCUGGUUCAGAAAAGUUUCCUUUUCAGCUUUCAGUAAUCGGGAAGAUACACAACCUCAGCUUCAAGACCGUCCGAAGAAUGGACAAAGUAUGGCAGAGGUAAGAUACGAAGGCAGAGAGAAGUUAAAUAACUUGCCCAUGUCCAUUGUCUUCCAAGUUCACACAAUUAUGAGAAUAGGAGAGUAAAAGCCCAGAUGAAUACCAUUUCCCACCUCAUACAGUCCCUGUUCAGAGAUGAGCUGGUGACUUGUCGGGACCUAUCCUGCCUCUUUGUCCAUUCUGUAUCCACUGCAUCUGCUGUUCCGGUUGCUCAAGAAGUUUGGCGGCAGCAUCUAGACUUUUGGCAAGAGAGCCAGAGGCUCAGGUAAUUCUGUGAGAACCAAAUGUGACCUACCUCUUAAAGGGAGACAUCUCUCAAGAAUGGACACUGGACUGCCUGCACAUUAUAAGGAGGGUCUUCUUCCAGUCUCUUGCAGUGGUGCUGGAAGGAAUUAAAAUCAUAGAUGGGUGGGGGUGGGUGAGGGCAGGGCAAGUCCAGUUCUUGGUCGAGACAAAGCACUGAUGUUUGGUUUGGCAGCAGCAAACAUCGCCUGGCUCACCUGGGAGGGAAAGUUCACAGCUCUUGGUCUUGGGUCAAGCUUAGUGUAGAAAGUGAGUUUCUGGUCAGGCCUGGGAAGAUAGCCUUCCCAGUGCGUACCCUGAGGGUCUCCAGGGUCAUCUGGUUUUUCCUGAAUGCCCAGGACAUUUCUCCCUGGACCGAAUACCAUCUGGAACUCCCCCUUGGUGUCUCCUGGGGCUCCUACACUGUCUGCACUGUCCUUGAUGCCUGCACUGCAUGCACUGCCCUUCUUUCCUGCUCUGGCCAGAAGAGACAUUCUAGAAGAUUCUUGAGUAAUCUGGAAGCCUGAAUCCUGCCUCUUCACCCUGGGUCUCGGCUUCAAUGUGACGGCUCCCUUGAGUUCUUGCCUACCCGAAUGCUCUUAAGCUGACCAAGCAUGGCGUAAGUAACUAAAGGGCUGGGGAGUCCAAGGUUUAUCAGCUCAGCAGUGCCAUCCAGGACCCAGCUCUGUUCAUCUCUCUGCUCUGCUGUCCUCCGGACAUGGGUGGACACAGCCUUGUCACCUCACGAUUGGAAGUUGUCUGUUGCAGUUUCAAGCAUCAGAGGCGUUUAUGGUGACAUUCACCCAAAAAAGAAGGAACCUUUAUAUCUAUGUCUUUUUUUCUUAGAGAGGAAAAAAUCCUUCCAGGAAGGUGCCCCACGGAUAUCCCUGUAUGUCCCAUUCAGUGGGGUCGUGUGUCGUGCCCAAGCUUGAAUGACUCAGUGUCAAGGGGGUGGAAUUACCAUGAUUGGCUUGGAGUCACCAACGUUUACCUCCUGGAGCUGGGGAUGAGCCAUUCUCUUGGGUACAUGGGAAUGUAAACACCUGAACUAAAGCAGACAAUGGAGAAUGAGGAGGACACCAACCCCCCCCCCACCGACUCGUCCUGUCCCUCAGAUCGAGAGUCGCCUCCUUCAUGGCUUCACCUGACUGACUCCUUUCCCAUUAACACCAGGACUCAUCUCUACUUAUUUUGUUAAUUUCAUUUUUUCUUAAUGUCUUGAAACUCCGUAAGAGUAGGGACCUUGCUCACUGCUGUAUCCAUAGUACUAAGCACAGUGGAGAUAAAUAGUAAAUACGUUUACUGAACAAAUGAAUAAUAAAUAUGUUUGCUGAACAAAUAAUGACAAAAAGGGAAUUACAGUUGACCCUUGAACAACACAGGUUUGAACUGAUGGUGGGCCCACUUAUAUGGGGAGUUUUUUCAAUAAACAUGUAUUACAGGGUACAGGAGCUGCGGUUGGGUUGAAUUUGUGGACGGAGAACCAUGGAUACGGAGAGCCGACUGUAAAGUUAUAUGUGGAUUUUCAACUGCACAGGGGUCAGAACCCCUAAUCCCCUUGCUAUUCAAGGGUCAACUGUAUAUAAUUCACAAGUAUCAUCAAACAUUAAUGUCUUUACUUAGAAGAAAUGAAGCCAUCCCUUAUACAAAGACCUGAGGACAAUUUUUAGCUCACAAAAGAGAACAUUAUGUAAUGAUACCUUGUGAGGGUGUAUUGUUCCCAAAGCCUUGAGUCACUGUGUACAGCUGACCUGAUAUUCACAGACAUGACAACCGUGGAUGAGUCGGGCCCUGGCAGGCAGCAGAUGGCACCCUCUGAGUGAACUAAGAGAGUGUAACGAAGAGCCCAGGUGGAGGCGUAAGUGAAGAAAGAGCAGGCAGGGACAUCAGGAAGUCACCAGGGUCUGGUCACCACGGACAGUGGUCCCUUUGCCGAGGCCCGAGGGGCAAGACGCUGGUCCGGAACUUCGUCAGAGCUUUAGCAGUGGCAAGAGUGCUACUUACUGGUUUGUUGUUUUGUUUGUGUUUUUCACAGUCUUUUUUUUUUUUUUAAAUGCCUACUGCGCCAUGAAUUGGUAGGCAGUGGGUUCCAGCAGCUCAGCCCCUUUCUCGGUGGUUCUCACAAAGCGCGCUUUUCUGGGCAGAGCCGGCUGGCGCUUCAGCCCAGCCCACUUGACUUUCUGUUCAGCCUCCUUUCUCUCUCUGAUCAUUCCCUUCACAUGCUUCAGGGAGCAGUCUCUGCUCUCGGAGUGUAUGUGCUCAGUUCGUAGAUUAAUUCUCUUGGCGAGAACCUUUGUUUCAUUGCUGCAGCAAUGCCAACAGCUUGCCGCCUGACACUGUGGACGCUUCUGGUUUCGCCCUAGGAACACUGGCUCGGGGCUCCUUUGUGAACCGUGCCAUUCCCUUGAUGUCUGCCACAUUGCUCUUCUAGAGGAUUGGCACAUACGUGGCCAGAGGAACAGCGCCAUACUCUCUAAAAGGCCUGGAGAGCGGAGAGCGGGGCCUCUCCUCUGUCCCUUUGUGUUGGUCGUUUUGGUGAAUUACCGGGUAAUGGUGGUUCUGGCCAUCAGGGGAACGAGGCCAUAUCAGGCUUUGGCACUGGCUUCCACUGCUGGCAGCGUGGACACUCAGUGCUAGCAGCAGCCAGGUCAGAUGUGGAGAGUUCCUGCUGUUGAGCUCACACGGAGCCUCCGUUCUUGCUACCUUGGCCACUUUGUAUGUGGGACCAUUGAACAAGCCCCAGGGUAACCGGAAAAAGGAGGUGCCGUGGAUCCACAGGGGUGGGUCAUCUGGGCAGCUGACUAUUGAGGGCAUCCUGAGAAAAGCUCUUCACACUGGUGUCAGCCUCGCAACAAAAUAUUUAAUGUCCUGUCCCUUCCUGGGGUGUGUUUAGGGGUAGCUGAGCAGUUUGCAUAGAUUAGGUCCGUUUUCUAAGUCAUUGGCCCCAUUCAUUCACGAUUUACCUUGAGGAGUUCUCAUUUUAACCUUUUUUUUUUUUUUUUUUUUACUAU